rnacentral:rRNA from 2 species
CAGCCGCCGCGGUAACACCAGCCCCUCGAGUGGUGGGGAUGAUUAUUUGGUCUAAAGCGUCCGUAGCCGGCCUUGUAAGUUUCCCGUUAAAUCCAACGUCUUAAGCGUUGGGCUGCGGGAAAUACUGCCUGGCUAGAGAGUGGGAGAGGUCAGCGGUAUUCUGGGGGUAGGGGCGAAAUCCUUUGAUCCCCGGAGGACCACCAGUGGCGAAGGCGGUCUACCAGAACACGUCCGACGGUGAGGGAUGAAAGCUGGGGGAGCAAACCGGAUUAGAUACCCGGGUAGUCCCAGCUGUAAACUAUGCAAACUCAGUGAUGCAUUGGCUUGUGGCCAAUGCAGUGCUGCAGGGAAGCCGUUAAGUAUGCCGCCUGGGAAGUACGUACGCAAGUAUGAAACUUAAAGGAAUUGGCGGGGGGGCAC